GACGGACUCUCAGAGCUGCUCCUCCAUCCAGAGAACUGGUCUGGCCAGAGGAGAAGCCUGGUGGAGAAUGGAGCCGGGAGGUGUUCCUGAAGCACACUUCUGAAUGAGUAUUUCUAGUUUAGAAAGAUAGACACAAGGCCUGGAAUCUGAAGAUCUGGGCUCAAGAUCUGCCUGUUGCCCCUUCUUACCUCUUGGUCUGAAUUUGUCACUGCAAAUCAAAUGAUAAAAAGGCAUUAUUGUGAAAGAGCACCAAGUGAGCUUCUGCACAGCUCUUCUUCCAUGAAAGAAGCUGGUAUUUGUUCCUUUUGCUUUUCUGCCAUGGAAGGCAGCACGUGAAGCAGGCAGCAUCAUGAAGUGAAGAGCAGCCCUCUGACACGGAAUCUGCCAGCACCUGGAUUUGGGACUUCAGCUUCUAGAACUAUUACCAGGACAUGGGCACCUGGCCUGUAUUUUCGUAUGGUUUCAGAGCAUCUGACAGCUCAUUUCAUGCACAGUGAGUGCCCUGUGAGAGGCCUACGGGGCAAGCAACUGAUGUCUGCAGCCGACAGCCAGUGAGGACCCCAGUGAAACCCACUAACACCGGUUUCCAGUGCUUGCCGUGAAAGAGCCCCAAUAUGUACACCCCCCAGUAAGAUGAACCCCAAUUCCAUGGAGAGAGAAAAAGUGAGACAGCUUCUUCAUCCUUCAUGGUGCAUCAACACAUAA